rnacentral:tRNA from 1 species
GCCUGUGUAGCUCAACGGCAGAGCGACGGUUUUGUAAACCGCUGAUGGGUGUUCAAUUCACCCCACAGGCU